UACGAAGGGUGCAAGCGUUAAUCGGAAUUACUGGGCGUAAAGGGUGCGUAGGCGGUUGUUUAAGUCUGUCGUGAAAUCCCCGGGCUCAACCUGGGAAUGGCGAUGGAUACUGGGCAGCUAGAGUGUGUCAGAGGAUGGUGGAAUUCCCGGUGUAGCGGUGAAAUGCGUAGAGAUCGGGAGGAACAUCAGUGGCGAAGGCGGCCACCUGGGACAACACUGACGCUGAAGCACGAAAGCGUGGGGAGCAAACAGG
rnacentral:rRNA from 1 species